UUUAAAGGCUGUUCUGGACAGCGGGCUUAGGAAUUCCAAAUUAGUCAUUUGUGACUGUUGAUAGCCGUGGGCACAUCCUUAGCCACUAAUAGAUAGGAAUAUGUUGAUUUCCGAACAUCGAUUGAUCUAAUCCUUUCAGCAGCAGCAUUUUCCUUAUAUAACACACUAUUAGAUGUAUCUCUGGCUUAAUUCGCAUUUGGACCUGAUUUCAUUUAUGCAAAACAACAGUUGCUGCAGGUCUUGAUAUAACUCGUGGUCCAAGAUAGAAUAUUUUUGGGAUUCCCUUCAACCUCAACAGUAAGGUGGGCUAAGGAAUUGAGAUUUUCUUUAGGAAGGCUAAGCUUUGUCUUGAUCACUUAUAAUUCCACAUGGUUGGAGUCCCACGCUUCACAUGGACCUGAAAAGAUGAAUUUGAUUCUGCCUUGAUUGUCCCUGACAAUGUUGUCAAUACUGGAUCAUCCUGGAUUUCCAUGAGAGUGUCUAUCGACAUUAAGCUUCCAUAUCUUGGUGGAGGGGGUGUCUUUCAUCUUGGGCAAGGGGUGUCGCUUUUGGUUUUGGGAGGAUUCCUGGUGUGGUGAAUGGUGUUAGGCCUCUAAUGGUAGAGUUUUCCGGGUUAGCUAGUCUAUAUUUGUAGGAAAAACAUCCUACUCAAUGUGUAGGGGCAAGUGGUUAGGACUCCACCGUGCAGAAGGAUCUUUGGGAAGAGGAAGUGGAGGAUUUGUUCCGGCUGCUUGGCAUUCUUAAAGACCAUCACCCUAUUAUAGGGAGGCCACAAAAAUGGCUUGGUGCAGUCACAAAUCCGGUCAGUUCUCGGUUCGUUCCUUCUACAAUGAUUUGGAACAUACAGUUGGGGUAGAAGACCAACCCUUAUUGUUCUUGGAGAUACGGUGCGCCUCCUAGAGUUGUGGCUUUCCUUUGGUUGGUUAGAAGGAAUCUAUGGUCAUUCCAAAUGCUUUCUUGAUGUGUAUGAGAGAUGUGGAGUCAAUGGACCACUUAUUCAUUCGUUGUCUCUUUGCCCGAUCAGUCUGGGCCUCAGUCAUGUCCCUUUUUGGCCGAGUGUGGGUGAUGCCUAACUCAAUAGAAGACUUCCUCUUAGCUUGAAAUGUUGGAGGGAUUGGGACGGUGGGUAAAGCGCUUUGGCAGUUAACCAUAAUGGUGAGCCUUUUGAUACUUUGGGGAGAGUAGAACAAUCGUUGCUUUCACAACUAGUGUGCUAUAGUGAAGUGUGGUUUGUAGGGUCAAAUGGCUUAUUUUUUAGUGGGCUUCUAAGUUGGAAGCCCUAAAGGAUUGUAAUUUUGUCUUUCCUUCUUUGUAUUCUUUCCCUACCUAAGUCUUUGCUUUGGCAGGUGUUUUAAUAAAUUUUGUGAUCUUUCAAAAUAA